AAAUUGAAGAGUUUGAUCAUGGCUCAGAUUGAACGCUGGCGGCAGGCCUAACACAUGCAAGUCGAACGGUAGCACAGAGAGCUUGCUCUCGGGUGACGAGUGGCGGACGGGUGAGUAAUGUCUGGGAAACUGCCUGAUGGAGGGGGAUAACUACUGGAAACGGUGGCUAAUACCGCAUAACGUCGCAAGACCAAAGAGGGGGACCUUCGGGCCUCUUGCCAUCAGAUGUGCCCAGAUGGGAUUAGCUUGUUGGUGAGGUAACGGCUCACCAAGGCGACGAUCCCUAGCUGGUCUGAGAGGAUGACCAGCCACACUGGAACUGAGACACGGUCCAGACUCCUACGGGAGGCAGCAGUGGGGAAUAUUGCACAAUGGGCGCAAGCCUGAUGCAGCCAUGCCGCGUGUAUGAAGAAGGCCUUCGGGUUGUAAAGUACUUUCAGCGGGGAGGAAGGUGUUGUGGUUAAUAACC
rnacentral:rRNA from 21 species